UGGGGAAUAUUGCACAAUGGGGGAAACCCUGAUGCAGCGACGCCGCGUGAGCGAAGAAGGUUUUCGAAUCGUAAAGCUCUGUCCUAUGAGAAGAUAAUGACGGUAUCAUAGGAGGAAGCCCCGGCUAAAUACGUGCCAGCAGCCGCGGUAAUACGUAUGGGGCGAGCGUAGUCCGGAAUUAUUGGGCGUAAAGGGUACGUAGGCGGUCUAUUAAGUCAGGUGUGAAAGCGUGAGGCUUAACCUCAUUAAGCACUUGAAACUGAUAGACUUGAGUGAAGGAGAGGAAAGUGGAAUUCCUAGUGUAGCGGUGAAAUGCGUAGAUAUUAGGAGGAAUACCGGUGGCGAAGGCGACUUUCUGGACUUUUACUGACGCUCAGGUACGAAAGCGUGGGGAGCAAACAGG
rnacentral:rRNA from 1 species